UGCACGCUUUACGGAGCAUGGUUCUGCGCUGCAGAGCGAUGCCAGGGCCGGUGUAAACGCCACGCUGCAAACACUGAAACGAACAGGAGAAAGCGUGUUUUGCAACCAGGUCCUGGUUUCACGGUCAUAUUUGCUGACCCAGCACAUCACGUUAGCUGACUCUGAAUGAAAACAGUUUUGGACAGGAGCGAGUGCCAUAGGUGCUUUCGUUGGAGUGAUUUCGGAGCACCGUUGACCUAGGUUCUCAGUGGGACAUGGUAUUUCCUCCCGUGGCCGUGGAGUGGCCAGUGUCAAAGAAAUGCCGCAUUUCACUUUUUCUGCUCCAUCUGCUUGCUCUGCUGGCUGCAUUUUUAUUUUAUAAGACAACACGAUGUUUUGGUGGAGGGCUACAUAUGCUUUUCCCCCAGAAGUUCCAUGGCAACUUUUACCCAAUCUUCAGAUAUGAGACCUAGUUUUCUAGAAAAAUACCACUGAACACCAAUCUUGGACCAGGAGGGAUGGACCUUACACAGCUCUCGGAAUCACCAUAUUGCUGCAAAACUACAUGGAGUACAACCCUGGGUUUAUAUUUCACAAUUAAAACAUUUAUAAGCCUUACUCUGAAUGGACAUCCCUUCUAGUGGGAGACCUUAAACCAGGGUUCCACCAAAGUCCCCAGAAGCCGAUGACACCACACAGGAGACUGCUUUCACAAGACUCUCAGAACAGCUGCCUGGCAAACGCACAAUGUCUCGGAGAUAUGUCUGGAAAUGCUACUCUGCAGCCAUUGACUUAACAAAUGAUUCGAUCCGUAUAUCAUGAUCCAGCAGCCCUGAGAACAGCUCUGCCUCCAGCUGAAUUUGUGCACAGUGGCCAAAUCUGAGCUGACAACUUUACAUGUGGUGAUCAAAUCUGGACUAACAGUGGUGCAGAUCUGGACAUCUUCAUUGCCUCAUUUCCAAACAUAUUUGUUCCAGCACAAUCUCAUGAUUGUGUUGAAGAAGAGGAGACACUGGCAAUGUUGAACUUUACCUGAGCCCUGAGGGUGAUUCCAGAAAACAGUGGAGGCUAAUCCCCCAAACUUUUGUUCUCCAAAAUCUCCUACCCUUUUGUG